rnacentral:rRNA from 1 species
CGGGGUGCACCAGGCGCGAAAACUUUACAAUGCCGGCAACGGCGAUAAGGGAACCUCGAGUGCCAGGUUACAAAUCUGGCUGUCGUGAUGCCUAAAAAGCAUUGCAUAGCAAGGGCCGGGCAAGACCGGUGCCAGCCGCCGCGGUAACACCGGCGGCUCGAGUGGUAACCGUUAUUAUUGGGUCUAAAGGGUCUGUAGCCGGCCGGGUAAGUCUCUUGGGAAAUCUGGCAGCUUAACUGUCAGGCUUUCAGGAGAUACUGCCUGGCUCGAGGCCGGGAGAGGUGAGAGGUACUUCAGGGGUAGGGGUGAAAUCUUGUAAUCCUUGAAGGACCACCAGUGGCGAAGGCGUCUCACCAGAACGGACCUGACGGCAAGGGACGAAAGCUAGGGGCACGAACCGGAUUAGAUACCCGGGUAGUCCUAGCCGUAAACGAUACUCGCUAGGUGUCGGCCACGGUGCGACCGUGGUCGGUGCCGUAGGGAAGCCGUGAAGCGAGCCACCUGGGAAGUACGGCCGCAAGGCUGAAACUUAAAGGAAUUGG